rnacentral:rRNA from 1 species
AUACGGUCAAAUCACGCUGAAAACACCGGUUCUCGUUCGAUCACCGAAGUUAAGCAUCUUAGAGCCAGGUCAGUACUUAGAUUGGGGACCGCUUGGGAACACCUGGUACUGUAAG